rnacentral:rRNA from 1 species
GAGUUUGAUCAUGGCUCAGAGCGAACGCUGGCGGCAGGCUUAACACAUGCAAGUCGAGCGGGCCCUUCGGGGUCAGCGGCGGACGGGUGAGUAACGCGUGGGAACGUGCCUUCUGGUUCGGAAUAACCCUGGGAAACUAGGGCUAAUACCGGAUACGCCCUUUUGGGGAAAGGUUUACUGCCGGAAGAUCGGCCCGCGUCUGAUUAGCUAGUUGGUGGGGUAAUGGCCUACCAAGGCGACGAUCAGUAGCUGGUCUGAGAGGAUGAUCAGCCACACUGGGACUGAGACACGGCCCAGACUCCUACGGGAGGCAGCAGUGGGGAAUAUUGGACAAUGGGCGCAAGCCUGAUCCAGCCAUGCCGCGUGAGUGAUGAAGGCCUUAGGGUUGUAAAGCUCUUUUAUCCGGGACGAUAAUGACGGUACCGGAGGAAUAAGCCCCGGCUAACUUCGUGCCAGCAGCCGCCGU